GGGAUUCGAGACGACUCUGGGAGGGGGAGGGCUUCCCCGAACCCUUUCGAGGCUUCAGCCCUCUAACACCUGUGUGCACCCGCUGUAGGUCCUUAGGGACCUAUGUCCUCUUCGAACUCGCAUGUCUACAGAACGUCGUCCGUGACCUCGGUCACAGGAAACCUAAUACAACUUUCAGCAAUGGAUCUCUUGGCUCUCGCAUCGAUGAAGGACGCAGCGAAUCGCGAUAAGUAAUGUGAAUUGCAGAUUUUCCGUGAAUCAUCGAAUCUUUGAACGCACCUUGCGCUCCUUGGUAUUCCGAGGAGCAUGCCUGUUUGAGUGUCAUCGAAACAUCAGAUCGAAGCUUUCGACCUCGUCGGAGCUCGGUUUGGACUUGUGGGAGUCUGCGGGCGAACCUCCCGUCGGGGGGACGUCGGCUCUCCUCAAAAGCAUUAACGUUGGGUGCGAGCCUCGCGUGGCACGGCCUCUUCGACGUCAUAAUGACCGUCGUGGGCUGGAAGUGCGUGGAUCGUAAAUGCCCGUCGCUCUCCAACUCUGCGAGCCCGGUCCGUCCGGCCGCGUGUUAUCGAAGCUUGACCUCAAAUCAGGUAGGACUACCCGCUGAACUUAAGCAUAUCAAAAGCCGGAGGAAAA
rnacentral:rRNA from 1 species